CACGUAGGGUGCGAGCGUUGUCCGGAAUUAUUGGGCGUAAAGAGCUCGUAGGCGGUGUGUCGCGUCGGCCGUGAAAACCUGCAGCUUAACUGUGGGCUUGCGGUCGAUACGGGCAUCACUGGAGUUCGGCAGGGGAGACUGGAAUUCCUGGUGUAGCGGUGAAAUGCGCAGAUAUCAGGAGGAACACCGGUGGCGAAGGCGGCUUUCUGGUCGUGUAAACUGACGC
rnacentral:rRNA from 1 species